AAGACUAUAGACCUGCGGAGUACCUGCGGAGGGAUCAUUACCGAGUACCGGGGCCUUCGGGUUCCUACUCCCACCCUAUGUUGACUUUAAAUGUUGCUUUGGCGGACCGGUGGUCUCACCGCUGGCCUAGGCUGGAGAGCGUCCGCCAGAGGAUUUUAAACUCUGUUUAACGGUGAAUUCUGAGUCUUGAUAAAUUGAAUCAAAACUUUCAACAACGGAUCUCUAGAUCGGAAGAGCACA
rnacentral:misc_RNA from 1 species